AAAAGAAAAUAUCAGAAUGGGAAAAGUAUGCUUUCAUAGUUUAGUUGUGAUGAUUUGAGAUUAUAAGAAAUUUUACCAAGAAGCAUUGAAUUUGUAGAUUUAAAAUAAUUGCGAUUAUAUGAGAAAUUGUAAUCUUUUCAUUAUAGGCAAUACAUGUACUUUAUUAAAUUUUGUUACUUUAUCUACGAUAGAAGUCAGGAAAUUUAUAAAAUCAAGAACUUAUGAUUCAGCACUAAAGAUUAAAGGAAAAUUGAGCGAUAAACGUAGAAUCGAUUAAGAGAUUAGCGAUAAAUGAUUUCAAUUCAAUUUAGAGAUUUCAGCGUUGAUUAGAUUGCCAAGAAUGAAAUUCCAAUGGGAUAUAAAAUCUUGCUGGGAGAUUAAAUAUAUGCUGAAUAACGUGCACCUGCCGCAUCUCGAGAUGAGGCAUUACUUUCCUGUCGAUAUACCCUCUCUGUAAAAGUUUACUGGGUAUGCAGACCUUAAGAAACGGGGCGUGCUACGAGCAAUGAAAAUGUGUGGCCGUUGUGGCUUUGGUUUCUCAUUUUUUUUUUUUUUUUUUUUUGGCUUUUGCCUCUGCUUUUGGCUGCACCUACGCGUCGCGUCGCUUAAGAUUUAUAUAUAUGGGGGAAACAACAGACUAGAUACACACAUACAUACACACACUUAGACAUAAUAACGCCCUAUGCUUUAGCAUAUAAAACAAAUUAUAAUUUAUAUAUUUCUCGCUUGAUGUUUUUUUAUUUGGGAGUUUCGACAACAUUUGACAACAACACAGGCAUAUUAAAUGUGUAAAAUGGAAAAGAAACAAGCAGAAAAAUAAUAUUUAUUAAUAAUAAUAAAUAGAAACCUGUCCAUAGAUUAUGAAAGGAACUGUUGAUGUAUGAAAUGUAUGCGAUGCGUUUGUAUAAGCAUAAUCAUAAAUCUAUUGGGCCCCGUCAAGGUGUGCGCUGAAGUGUCAGCCAUAAAUUUGAAAUUUAUGUUCAUCUUUUCGGCCAAAGUCAAAGCACAGAGCCAAGAGCACAAAGAAAAUGCUCGCUAUAUGGCAAAGUCGAGUGGGGUCGAGAAGAAGAGACUUUAGUUAGCCAUAAAAUCGUAUAAUUUCAAUUAAAUGCUGCCACGACAGUUGCGUCAUUUCGUCUGACACAUUGGCCCGCUUAUGGCGUUAAUUUCCUCAACCCGCACUGGUUCUUUCUUUCCCCUAUUCACUGAUUCUACAAGUUGUCUUGUGAAAUUGACGAAAUUGACGCUAAUCGCUGUCAUUUGUCUUUAUCUAGGGGCAAAAUGCCUGACAAAUAAACCUAGCAAGAUCGAGCAAGACUUGCUGGCAAUUUUAAUGUGCUUUCGAAAUUUUACAAAUUUUAAUGUGCUUUUUUAUUGAGCAAACUCUUAAUACGAAGAGCUUUAGGCUGUUGGUAAGCCACAAUAUACUUUUAAUCCUUUAUAUGUGCUUUUCGAGAACAUAAAAAAGUGUUUUCAAUUUAUCAUUGCAAUUGACAUCGCAAUUUUAAUGAGCUUGGCUGUCAACUAUAAAAACUUUCUUUUAAUCCACAAAUAUCUGAGAUGUGGCCUGGAAAUCUUUUGAAUCUAAGAGGUUAGUCUCUUUAAUAAGCUGAGGCCACUAAAAGCUCUUCUAGAAUAUUUUAAUGUGCUUAACUCUCAACUAUAAAUUGCUUUUUGACAAUCUAUUUCUCUCAAAUAUUGCUUGGAACUCAAUUGAAUGUAAUUGGUUAAACUCUUUAAUGAGCUUUUUGAGGCUGACAAGCUUUUUAAGAACAUAGAAAUGUGCUUGUCGUGUUUAAUGUGCUUGACUCGCAACUAUAAAGUACUUAUUGUAAGUUGAAAGCUUUCGAGAUCUUUUAAAUGUGCUUUCAAUACAUUUAACAUACGAACAAUUAUGCGAUCUUUGCAACUUUAAUGUGCUUUCUUUAAAUCCUCAAAUCUCUUUAAUGAGCUUUUUGAGGCUAACAAACUUUUUAAGAACUUAAGAAUGUGCUUGUCGUGUUUAAUGUGCUUGACUCACAACUAUAAAGUACUUUUUGUAAGUUGAAAGCUUUCGAGAUCUUUUGAAUGUGCUUUCAAUACAUGCAACAUACGAACAAUUAUGCGAUCUUUGCAACUUUAAUGUGCUUUGUGUUUCGCUAAAACCAAGUUGACUGCUAAUGUUGUUGCUAAUGACAUUUUCAGUUAAGUUUUUGUUUAUUUUUCGCUUUCAUUCGACUGCCAACAGUUCCCGUUGCAUAAGCAUUAACAAGCCAAGUCAUCAAAGAGCCCAAUUCUCACACAAUCAGCCCACCUAUCCACGCAAACGGCUCAUUAAACUCCCAGACAAAAAACGAAAAUACAAAAAAAAAAUUGAAAAAAAGCAAAAACAAAACAGAAAUACAUAAAAUAAAAGUUGACCUUCAAAAACGCACAGAAAUCAAACAACAAUUACAAAAACAACAAAGCGACUCAACCAAGCGAAAAUCAAACCCAAAUACACACACACACAUCUGCAUACGCUUACGCCUGAGUGUGUGUGUGUGUGUGUCGUAUACAUAGAUGGUGUUUCGCUUGGAAACAGGUUGUUGUUGUUGUCUGUGUGAGUGUUUCUUUUUUUUUUUUUUGUUUUUGUGUUAUUGUUAACAUUUAUUUCAUUAUGCUUUUUUUAAGAGCCAAAAAGUUGAGUUGAGAGCUACGCAAACUUUCGCACACACGCAAAGAGUCAUCACACACACACACACGCACGCACACACACAGAGAGUCAGUCAGUCAGUCAGCAAACAAAGAAACUGAAAUUGGCGCAGCAAAAGUAAUUCAAAUAUAGAAUGGCAAAAAAUAAAAGAAAUAAAUAAAUGACAACAACUGAAUUUGAUUGCACUUCAAUUUGAAAUAAAUUUUGAAUGUGGCCAACGAUUAUUUUCAAAUAAUCUACAAAAAAAAUUGUGCAAUGUCUCUGAUGUCAUCCACAACAAACGAUUUUUUUUAUCUCUGUAAGAAGCGGAAAAAAAGAUAUCUUUCACGUGCCGAAGUGCAAAUACACUUACAGCAACUGAAGUCAAUCAAAUUCGCUUGAGACAAUCAGAAAAUUAAGUUUUGUUGAUGGUAGAAACGAGGCACAAAAAGCUUUUAAGUACUAAAACUAUUUUUUAUUUAUUUUGAUAAUGCCAUUAUGUUUUAUAUUCUUUUUAUUACGAAUGUACAAUUCAUAUAGAAGAGGGUCGUAAAAAAUAUUGCACGAUAUAAUAUGAUAUGAUAUGUGAUGGAAGAGAGACACACACACUCAUCAAUAUAACUGCAGCGAACACGUGCCGAAUUCGCUAAUGAAUAGGCAAAAAAAAGCAACGGCUUUGAGGUGUUAAUCAGACGUUGAAAAAAAGGCGCCAAAAAUUUGUUAGACUCGCGCAGCCAAAUUCUAAUCAUAAAUGGACGUUGUUUCUUCUGCUCUUUCCCACUUCAAAAGUCGUGUGCGUGCUUGUAUUGCUGUUGUUGUUGUUGUUGCUGUCGCUUUUCUCUUGCGAGUGAGUAAGUGCGUGCUCUUGUGUGUUGGUGUGUGUGUGUGUAAGACUGACAUACGCGCGCGCGUAUCUAGAUAAAUAUCGCUGACUACAAAAGCACACAAACAUAUGCGAGAGUGUGUGCUUGCGCGUGAGUGUGUGUGAAAAUACACUUGAGGCGUGCUACUGUACAUACGCAACGUUGGCUGCGCAGCCAACAGCGUCUCGUAUAGGCCUAUGAGUAAGUUCGUGAUGGCAACGACCAACAACAACAACAGCAACAACAAGGCGCAAAACAAUCGUAAACAGAUCAUCGAACUCCCUUUUGCAAAAGCGUGUGAGUUGUUUUUGUUGUUAUUGUUAUUGUUCCUGCUGCUGUUGGCCUUGAAGUGUGUGCGCUUUUUGUAUUUUUGGUCACUAUUUAAUUUUCAUUAAUUAAAAGCUGUUUUUUUUUCUUUCCUUUAAAUAUUAAUUGAGUUGGCAACGCGUGCGGCGCCCACGCAAAACAACAGCAACAAACGAUUGCAGCAGCAACAACUUCAAAGCGACAAGCAAAAAACAGCUUUCACCGUUUGCCUUCGCUUGCGUCAUAUUCGAUUUGCGUGCGCGACAAAGCUACACGAAGUCGCUGCUGCAUCGGCAUGUUGCUGCUGCCGUCGCUGCAGCAGCAAUUCAACACAGCAAAACACAACACAACACAGAGGGCAACAAACCACCACCAAAACAUUAGCAGCAGCAGCAGCAGAGCAUUGACAGCGAUAGCGACAGCAGCGGCAGAGGCAGCGCAGUGGCAGCAGCCAACCAGCAGCGGCAGCGACAAGCCGACAAGCGAGUUCGGCUUCGGCUUUUUUGUCGCUUUGUAGCGCGUCAGUCGCUGGUUGACGGCGAACGCGUUCAGUUGUGUUAACGGUAAAACGCAUGCUUGCUCCUGCCUGGUCGUGGUUGUUGUUGCUGUUGCUGUUACUGCUGCUGUUGAACUGGAAAUUCUUGAUCGCUCGUUUCGAAUUCGUAUUCGUGUGUUCGUGUGUGUGUGUAUGCGAGUUGCACUUGUAGCGCUGCUGCUGCUGAUGACUGCGACGGCGACUGCGACGGUCGCUGCUGCUGCUGCUGCUUACGUGCCCAAGUGAACGUCAACGUUUUCUAAUCUGACGAUUAUCGAUUGAUAGCAAGAGCAGCAGUCGCAGCAGCAGCAGAUAAGCGAACGUCUCGGCUGCAGCAGCAGCGACAGCAACAGCAACACACAUACCCUCUCGCACACACACACACGGACAUUCGACGAUCCCGCGACAGCGACGCCGCCGCGCAGCCGCAGUCGACGCCGCCCGCUUUCGAGUUAUUUUCUGCGCGACUCUGUUGCGUUUGUCUCAGUUCACUUUUGGAGCUGCCACUAAACGUUAACAAAUUGCUCCGUGUUUUUUGCUGCCGUCGCGAUGCGAAAUUUUCGUUGCGCGUUUCGUUUUCUCCAUAAUAUUUCGUACAAUAAAAAAAAUACAAGUUGGCAAAAAUAAAAUAAAAAUUAAACAAGCUAAAUUCAAUUUGAAACCCGUUGAAAACUGAUAAAAUAAAAUCUCUUUGUGUUUAAAAAGAUUUUCUUUUAAAUUAACAAUGUGUUGCAAUAAGAAAAAUAUCGAAUUAAUUAAAAUGAAACGACACAAAACUAAAGUCAAACGAAUAAAAAACGAAAACGAAACAAAAAUCAUAAAUAAAAGAAAAAGCCACAAUAUUUCAAUCGAACCUAAAAAUAAAUUGCCAUAAACUUGCCAUAAAAAAUACGCUAUCAAAAUUCAAAAUCAAUCGAUUAACAAUUUUGCAUCAAGUCGUAAAAAAACACCAAUAAAAACUUGAGCCUUUUUUGGCAAUAACAAUUAAUCUUGUAAAACGCUUUUGACGUCAACUAAUUUAGUAAUUUAACAAUUUAUUUUAAAAACUUACAAACUGAAAACAGAAAAAGAAUUCCGAAAAAAUACAAAGUGCAAAGAACUUUUCAAGAAAAAACACAAGAAAGUUGCAAAGCAAAAAGAGAAGCAAAAAAAAUAUGUUGGAAUCUUCUGAAUCCAAGUGAAGAGAAGAGAAGAGAUGAGAGGAGAGAUGGAAAAAGAAGAAUCUGAAAAAAAUGCUACCUGGUUUUUGCCAUCAGCGAGGUAUAGAGUUCCUACGUUCAAUUUAAAUACUCGUAGGAACUUCAUACCGUGCUCUUGGAAGACCAAAAAACAACAAAAACAAACUACAAAGUAAUACAUACAACAACAACAACAACAGCAAGAAAAACGUAAGCAAAAACCACAACAAGAAGCUAAAGAAAAAAGAACGCGAUUUAAACCGCACAAAAAACGCUAGCGACUUUUGCAUGCAGUGAAACGUGCUAAAAAAAAAAGCAAAUCUGAAAACUAAAAUCUGAAAACUGUUACGUGUCGUUUGAAGCUUACAAAACAAG